ACAAAUUUGAUGACGAGAAAGAGUACGUUUUAGUAUCUGUUCUAAAGAGAGUUGACACUUGGUGAGAGUCAACGUUCAGUCUAUAAUCGAAAAUCAUCUCUGAGAAGUAAACCUGAAAUAUAAUAAGGUUUAAUGGUUGUCCACCAUUAAAAGGAACAGAUAUCAAUUGGUAUCUUGCUAAGUGCUAUUAAAGUUAGACAUUAUAAUUUUAAUAGAUUUUGGGUGGUAACACGUGCAUAUUCGCUCGUCCCUUUU
rnacentral:ncRNA from 1 species